rnacentral:rRNA from 1 species
GCUAACUCUGUGCCAGCAGCCGCGGUAAUACAGAGGGUGCAAGCGUUAAUCGGAAUUACUGGGCGUAAAGCGCACGUAGGCGGUUUUUUAAGUCAGAUGUGAAAGCCCCGGGCUCAACCUGGGAAUUGCAUUUGAAACUGGGGAACUAGAGUGUGUGAGAGGGGGGUAGAAUUCCAAGUGUAGCGGUGAAAUGCGUAGAGAUUUGGAGGAAUACCAGUGGCGAAGGCGGCCCCCUGGCACAACACUGACGCUCAGGUGCGAAAGCGUGGGGAGCAAACAGGAUUAGAUACCCUGGUAGUC